rnacentral:lncRNA from 1 species
UAAGACUGACUCAACAAUCACCACUCCUCUUCUGCCUUUCAAGAAGGGUUGCUGCGCUCUCAGCUGCCUGCCACCCAAUUCCAUGAUGCUUGAGUUGCUUGAACUCAAAUCUUAUCGUAUAAAAGAGGCACGAAAUCUGCUGAUCUCAGUAGAAAGCCCCUGAAAGGAAAAUGGGACCUAAUGAAAAUCUGUGCUCUCUGCAAAAGGCGCAGCCUGCUGGAGGUGGGAGGAGCCUUGGACUGAGACCUUGGGAUGACAGUGAAUUAUUUAGCUUCUCUGAGCCUCAGGCAUUACUCUUAAGGUAGGGGCAAUGAUGCCUGCUCUGGGCUACUGCGAAAAACAGAAGGUAUGAAAGUGCUUUGAAAAUGUGAUGUGCCAUAAAGAGAAGACAUGAUUAACGUGAGCCUGGCACUGUGUACUUGGUGGAACUUCAAGAAGGACAAAUGAAUCAAAUAACAAGAGACCAGCCUUUGCAAGCAUUCACCCAAGGCUGGAAGGCAGACCUGGAGAUAAGCUCUCUUGAAGUAUAUGGACAAAGACUUCGUACCCUAGUGAUGGCAGAGCCUGAAUCCCCAGUACCAUGGAGCUGCCAUACAGAUCCUGGCAAUUAAACCUGGCCUGCAGCAAGAAAGAAAAAUAAACUUCAAGUUGCUAUCAUUUGGAGUGUUUUGGAAUUGCUAAACUUUACUUUAUGC